rnacentral:rRNA from 1 species
GUGGGGAAUAUUGGGCAAUGGGGGCAACCCUGACCCAGCAACGCCGCGUGAGGGAAGAAGGUUUUCGGAUUGUAAACCUCUGUCCUAUGGGAAGAAGGAAGUGACGGUACCAUAGGAGGAAGCCCCGGCUAACUACGUGCCAGCAGCCGCGGUAAUACGUAGGGGGCGAGCGUUGUCCGGAAUUACUGGGCGUAAAGGGUGCGCAGGUGGCCUGACAAGUCAGAUGUGAAAUACCGAUGCUUAACGUCGGGGCUGCAUUUGAAACUAUGAGGCUGGAGUGCAGGAGAGGGAAGCGGAAUUCCUAGUGUAGCGGUGAAAUGCAUAGAUAUUAGGAGGAACACCAGUGGCGAAGGCGGCUUUCUGGACUGUAACUGACACUGAGGCACGAAAGCGUGGGGAGCAAACAGGAUUAGAUACCCUGGUAGUCC